rnacentral:rRNA from 1 species
UGCGUAGGCGGGUUGCCAAGUCUGUGGUGAAAUCCUCCGGCUUAACCGGAGAACUGCCGUGGAUACUGGCGACCUCGAGGGGUGUAGGGGCUUGCGGAACUGUGCGUGGAGCGGUGAAAUGCGUUGAUAUGCACAGGAACUCCGGUGGCGAAAGCGGCGAGCUGGACACCUUCUGACGCUGAGGCACGAAAGCCAGGGAGCAACG